rnacentral:rRNA from 3 species
UAGGGAAUCUUCCGCAAUGGACGAAAGUCUGACGGAGCAACGCCGCGUGAGCGAAGAAGGUCUUCGGAUCGUAAAGCUCUGUUGUUAGGGAAGAACAAGUACCGGAGUAACUGUCGGUACCUUGACGGUACCUAACCAGAAAGCCACGGCUAACUACGUGCCAGCAGCCGCGGUAAUACGUAGGUGGCAAGCGUUGUCCGGAAUCAUUGGGCGUAAAGCGCGCGCAGGCGGUCCUUUAAGUCUGAUGUGAAAUCUUGCGGCUCAACCGUAAGCGGUCAUUGGAAACUGGGGGACUUGAGUGCAGGAGAGGAAAGCGGAAUUCCAUGUGUAGCGGUGAAAUGCGUAGAGAUAUGGAGGAACACCAGUGGCGAAGGCGGCUUUCUGGCCUGUAACUGACGCUGAGGCGCGAAAGCGUGGGGAGCAAACAGG